rnacentral:rRNA from 1 species
AGAGAUUGAACAUAAGAGUUUGAUCCUGGCUCAGAUUGAACGCUGGCGGCAUGCUUUACACAUGCAAGUCGGACGGCAGCACAGGGAAGCUUGCUUCUCGGGUGGCGAGUGGCGAACGGGUGAGUAACAUAUCGGAACGUACCGGGUAGCGGGGGAUAACUGAUCGAAAGAUCAGCUAAUACCGCAUACGUCUUGAGAGGGAAAGCAGGGGACCUUCGGGCCUUGCGCUAUCCGAGCGGCCGAUAUCUGAUUAGCUGGUUGGCGGGGUAAAGGCCCACCAAGGCGACGAUCAGUAGCGG